AAAUGAAGUAGAAACAUUCUUUUCCGUACGUACGUGCGCGCUGUGUGGUUGUAAUCCGGGACGACGAAAUCUUGUAGAAGAUGGAACAUUUUGAAUCACGAUAUUACAUUCAUUACCAACCCGGGUGAUGCUAUUUUUUAACCGUCCUACUUGAGGGUUAAGCACGUUACAUUUGCGAGUAAAAAUGUGUUGAAAUAUCUGGAUAUGGAUCAAGCUGCGGCUUUAAGGUUAGCCCGGUGCCUUCCGGUAAAUACACGCCAAGCCACAUAGUUCACAGACAUUCUGCAAUGAGAUAUUGGAACGGCACAAUCUUGCUGAAGAUUGAUCUUCUUGCUUUACGGGAUCACCAUCAUCAUCGACGAACAAAUCGCAUCGUGGAAAAGCCGAGAAGAUGUGGCUAAUUUGGAAAACGAAUGUUAUGGCCAAUAGCAUCGCCUUAUGCCGCAGGAAGCUCAACAGAAUCGGUUGAAUUUGGAAAAUGUAUGCAGUCCUUGUUCCUGUCAGCAAUAAGUUCCUGAAACGGAAGUCGCAAUGAAAUCGAUCCUCUCGAUGCCAGCUACAACAACAGGUUUUGCAUGUGAUAAAACAUAAGAAAAUAAAAACUACAGUUACAUACAAA